rnacentral:lncRNA from 1 species
CCUCUGCCACUAGAACCAAAAAUUAAGCAAAGAAUAGCAAAUAAUUCAUUCCAAUUAGCUCCUAAGCAUCAUGUAUCAAGUACUUUGUUUAUUUCAUCAUUCAACGACCAAGCGAGAAUCAUCAUACCCAAAUCACAGUCUGUAAUCCCAAACGUAAUGAUAAUAAUGUGAAAUCCUCAUAAAUCAUAUCAAUGUUUAGAAAUC